CCCUUAGAUGUCCUGGGCCGCACGCGCGUUACACUGAUGCAUUCAACGAGCUUAUAACCUUGGCCGAGAGGCCUGGGCAAUCUUGUUAACGUGCAUCGUGAUAGGGAUAGAUUAUUGAAAUUAUUAAUCUUGAACGAGGAAUUCCUAGUAAACGCAGAUCAUCAAUCUGCAUUGAUUACGUCCCUGCCCUUUGUACACACCGCCCGUCGCACCUACCGAUUGAAUGGUCCGGUGAAAUCUUCGGAUCUGAGAGAUGUCUGAUUAAUUUCGGACGCCUUUUGGAAAAGUUGCUUAAACCUUACCAUUUAGAGGAAGGUGAAGUCGUAACA
rnacentral:rRNA from 1 species